UCUUUCUUUGGUUGACUUGAGGGAUGUCC
rnacentral:piRNA from 1 species